GUGCUCAUGUUGACAGUAUAUAUACUAUAAUCUGAAUGAUACAGAAAAGAUUAGCAUGGCCCUGUGCAGGGAUGACAAGCAAAUUUGUGAAGCAUUCCAUAUUUGU